GACCAGAAGUGUUUUGGAUUUUGGACUUUUUCACAUUUGGGGAUAUUUGCAUUAUACUUAUCCUAAAUCUGAAAGUCCAAAACCUGAAAUGCCCAGUGAG
ensembl:miRNA